rnacentral:lncRNA from 1 species
GGGGGGGGGCUUGAAAGUGUUCUUGCAAGGAAAAUUAAAUUAAAUUAAAACUGGAAAGUAAAUACAACCAAACAUAAUUGAAAACAUGAAAAUAAAAGAAGAUGUUAAACCUAACACUCAAAAUAGACAAAUAUCCACACAUAAUUAAAACUAUUAAAAUUUAACAAGUAAGCUAAACAUUGAAAGCAAUUCAUCACAGUAAUAAUUCAAAUAAAAUACAAAAAAAAAAUAAAGGAACUAAAGUACAUGUCCAUCAAAGACAUCAAGCUCCUUCCUUGAAAGUGUCAGCGUCGCAUCUUAGCAAAGAAAAGAAAAGUUCAACAAGCCUCCCUCUCU